CUUGGUCAUUUAGAGGAAGUAAAAGUCGUAACAAGGUCUCGGUUGGUGAACCAGCGGAGGGAUCAUUACCGAGUUCACCACUCCCAAACCACCUGUGAACAGACCAUUUGAUGCCUCGGCCGAUCCCCCCGCUCGCCGUCAAGCCGGACGGCCCGCCUUAGGACCCCUAAACUCUGUUUCUGUUUGUAACUUCUGAAUACAACCUGUAAAUAAAUCAUUAACUUUCGACAACGGAUCUCUUGGUUCUGGCAUCGAUAAAGAACGCAGCGGAAUGCGAUAAGUAAUGUGAAUUGCAGAAUUCAUUGAAUCAUCGAAUCUUUGAACGCGCAUUGCGCCCGCCUGUAUUCUGGCGGGCAUGCCUGUUCGAGCGUCAUUUCAUCCCUCAAGCACAGCUUGGUGUUGGGACUCGCGUUAAUUCGCAUUCCUCACAUUGAUUGGCGGUCACGUCCAGCUUCCAUAGCGUAGUAGUAAAACCCUCGUUACUGGUAAUCGUCGCGGCCACGCCGUUAAACCCCAACUUCUGAAUGUUGACCUCGGAUCAGGUAGGAAUACCCGCUGAACUUAAGCAUAUCAAUAAGCGGAGGA
rnacentral:rRNA from 1 species